UAUUGCACAAUGGGGGAAACCCUGAUCCAGCGACGCCGCGUGAGUGAAGAAGUAUCUCGGUAUGUAAAGCUCUAUCAGCAGGGAAGAAAGAAAUGACGGUACCUGAGUAAGAAGCCCCGGCUAACUACGUGCCAGCAGACGCGGUAAUACGUAGGGGGCAAGCGUUAUCCGGAAUUACUGGGUGUAAAGGGAGCGUAGACGGUGAUGUAAGUCUGGAGUGAAAGGCGGGGGCCCAACCCCCGGAACUGCUUUGGAAACUGUGCAGCUAGAGUGCAGGAGAGGUAAGUGGAAUUCCUAGUGUAGCGGUGAAAUGCGUAGAUAUUAGGAGGAACACCAGUGGCGAAGGCGGCUUACUGGACUGUAACUGACGUUGAGGCUCGAAAGCGUGGGGAGCAAACAGG
rnacentral:rRNA from 1 species